UAGCAAUGGAAAUUGAUCUAGAUGCUUUUGAUGAAUCUGGGGUACUUUUAACUAAGAAGUAUUGUAUUGUUUUGGUUUCAGAACAAUGAACAUCCUGUGGUUGUAUGAUAUUUGAACCCUUUUUCACUGAACCACUCCCUGUAAACACAUGCAUGAGAACUAUCCACUCUUCCUGCAGUGUAACUCUACAAUAGCAGCUUGCUAAAAAUGACAACUCAGCGUGCAUCUGUAAAAAGGAACCCUCCCCCACUGGAGCAUCACUGUCAGAGCAACAAAAGCAGCAGAGGUUUCUGUGCCUGCAAUGAAGAACCCUGUGAGGACUGCCCUUCUCCUCUACCUGCAGAUACACUGGCCCAUCUAGUCCAGUAUUCUGUUCACUUUAUGGCCAAUCACUGACCUACAGGAAACCCGUAAGCCGGAGUCUCCUUUUCACAGCAGCUGUGCACCUGAUCAACAUUUUCAGAGAGCUGUCCAAAAUGCUCUUGUAGCACUCUACAGAAUGGGAUCGGUCUGUGUUUCUGUUAAAAAAAUAAAAAGUUCUCACCACCCUUCUGAAUGAUGCUUCAUCUUUGAACAAAUAUACCAUGUGGGGCAGACAGCACUACCAUUCCAGGCUUUGCUGAACAGGUGGUCAGCUCAUUUCUUCGGGAAUAAGAUCCACUGAGCACAUGCGGACAUUCUUCUGAGUAAACAUGCCCAGGUUAUGCUGCACGUCUAUUAGCUCUGAACAAACCGCUUCAUACCAACCAACACAAGCAUGCCUUGAAACAAAAGAAAGUGCAAACUUCUAAGGAUUGCCUUAAAGUUCAUUAGCUGUUACAAGAAAAAUCCCUAAGUGGUUUAGCGAAGCUGCAAAGCUGCAAAGGUGAGCCAUCUUUAGGACUUCUGCUGAACCUGUCUUUGAAGUAGCAACAACUCUGACAAAUGCAAUUGCUUACAAAUGUGGAAAUUAUGAGUGCAGGGAACUUGCAGGGAGAUGAAAUAUGGCAUUGCUCAUGGUAGAAGCUGUGGCAAUGAAUGAGAAUAUAGCCAGACUUUGUGGGUAGAUACAGAGGGAAAAAUAAUGUGCAAAUUUU